CGAAUCCCAGACCCACCGGAGAGCAGCACCCAGUCCAUCCCACUGCACCACUGCACCACCACGCACCCCAUUAGGAAAUCAGUCAUACCUUCUCUCCAUCAUCUUCACAAACUCCCUCCUCAUGACGUAACCUCGGCACAAUGCCUGAGUCAUGGUGACCAAAGUUGCCAACUUUUCAUCUCUCAUCUCCUCCAGCUGGCCCAGCAGACCAGCUUUGAAGAACACCUACCAGCAGCCCUGAGAAGACCGCCGUUUGUGGAACAAGUUCAAGAUUCCCGUUGUAAGAGUGGCUCUUAAGCAGCUCUUCCAGAUGGAAUGACAUGAGGAAACAUGCAAUACUCAGAGUUUCUGGAGCUGUU